UUAAAGACUCUUUUUCGUCCAGGUCGCUGGCAAUAGCAAGCAGAAUGGAGACGAACAGAACAUAGAUGACCAUAUAAUCCAGAAGCGAGAUGUUCAGGUCGCUGGCAAUAGCAGCAGAAUGGAGACGAACAG